rnacentral:rRNA from 1 species
UACGUAGGGGGCAAGCGUUGUCCGGAAUUAUUGGGCGUAAAGCGCGCGCAGGCGGCUUGUUAAGUCUGGUGUAUAAGUGCGGGGCUCAACCCCGUGAGGCACUGGAAACUGGCAGGCUUGAGUGCAGAAGAGGAGAGUGGAAUUCCACGUGUAGCGGUGAAAUGCGUAGAUAUGUGGAGGAACACCAGUGGCGAAGGCGACUCUCUGGGCUGUAACUGACGCUGAGGCGCGAAAGCGUGGGGAGCAAACAGG